rnacentral:rRNA from 1 species
AACGAACGCUGGCGGCAGGCUUAACACAUGCAAGUCGAACGCAUCGCAAGAUGAGUGGCAGACGGGUGAGCAACGCGUGGGAAUCUACCCAUCUCUGCGGAAUAGCUCUGGGAAACUGGAAUUAAUACCGCAUACGCCCUACGGGGGAAAGAUUUAUCGGGGAUGGAUGAGCCCGCGUUGGAUUAGCUAGUUGGUGGGGUAAAGGCCUACCAAGGCGACGAUCCAUAGCUGGUCUGAGAGGAUGAUCAGCCACAUUGGGACUGAGACACGGCCCAAACUCCUACGGGAGGCAGCAGUGGGGAAUAUUGGACAAUGGGCGCAAGCCUGAUCCAGCCAUGCAGCGUGAGUGAUGAAGGCCUUAGGGUUGUAAAGCUUUUUCACCGAUGAAGAUAAUGACGGUAGUCGGAGAAGAAGCCCCGGCUAACUUCGUGCCAGCCGCCGCGGUAA